UCGAUUCCUUACACACUCUGUGUCUGUGAUCUCUCGCUCUCAAUGUCCGAGUCUCCGGUGUUCCGGACAACUUCAGUUCUCCGUUUUACCCUCCUAUGAACCCUUGACAGAAUAGAGUUCUAUUCAGGAGCUUUCCUGUUCUCCGUCUGAAUGGAGAUCGGAAAGUUCCUUUCUUGAUUUUUUCUGGAAAUUAACCUACAUGUUUACUCUUUGAAAUUUUCAAUAAACCCUAUAAAUGCAUGGGUUUUUGAAACCAUUUAAAUCUUUUUUCCUGAAAUUCCAUAUUGCUACAAAUUGUGUCUCAGCAAUGAACCGCCUCCCGUUCAAAAAAGAAAAAAACGGAACAGCAGCUCCUGGAACUUUGUAUGAUGCUACCGCCUAAAGAUCUCCAUACGACCCACGGAUGGUUCCUCCCCACUAUUAGAUGGUUGCGAUGCCACAGAAACGCCAUCACAGAUGUUCAGCGAUGUUCCACUCACUCGUUCCGUCCCCAAUUCAGCUACGAUUACUCGCCUGGGCAACCUCUUCUUCGAAAUGCUUAGAAUAUAUGUGGAAUGAGGAUAUCCAGAACACUCCAGUCUCUCAACAUGAUGGCCACGGGACAUG
rnacentral:lncRNA from 14 species